rnacentral:rRNA from 1 species
AGAGAAUAGGCCCAAGCGACUGUUUACCAAAAACAUAGGUUUCUGCUAAGUCGCAAGACGAUGUAUAGGAGCUGACGCCUGCCCGGUGCUGGAAGGUUAAGGGGAUCUGUUAGGGCAAUCGAAGCAGUGAACUUAAGCCCCAGUAAACGGCGGCCGUAACUAUAACGGUCCUAAGGUAGCGAAAUUCCUUGUCGGGUAAGUUCCGACCCGCACGAAAGGCGUAACGAUUUGGGCACUGUCU